rnacentral:snoRNA from 1 species
CCCCUCUCAGGGUCAUAUCUGGAGGGUUUCCAGUACUUUACCAGUCUUGACUAAGGGAGGGAGAGUCAAGCGGAGGCCUGUCCAUUCCAUUCCUAGCUUGGGCCGUGGCUAGUGAGUGGAAGGCCAUCUGCUACAAGU